AAAAAAGCAGUGGCCUGUUGCCCUUGUGAACAGGUCUCUUGUAAACUGCAGCGAAAUCACUUGCAAUGUUAUUGGGUGAACACCCAUGUUUGAUUCUAGUAACUAAAGGUUCAGUAAAUGAUGCCACAUUC